UUCAGCAUUUAACUCAGAUGCUGAACGUGAAGGAUAACGUUGCGUCAGCAACGGCCCGAAGGGCGAGGCAAAGCCGAGUCAUCCUGCACGACCUACCA
rnacentral:sRNA from 1 species